GAUGAACGCUAGCGGCAGGCUUAACACAUGCAAGUCGAGGGGUAUAGGGAGCUUGCUUCCUAGAGACCGGCGCACGGGUGCGUAACGCGUAUGCAAUCUACCUUUUGCAGAGGGAUAGCCCAGAGAAAUUUGGAUUAACACCUCAUAGUAUGUGAGAAUGGCAUCAUUUUCACAUUAAAGUCACAACGGCAAAAGAUGAGCAUGCGUCCCAUUAGCUUGUUGGUAAGGUAACGGCUUACCAAGGCAACGAUGGGUAGGGGUCCUGAGAGGGAGAUCCCCCANACUGGUACUGAGACACGGACCAGACUCCUACGGGAGGCAGCAGUGAGGAAUAUUGGACAAAUGGGCGCAAGCCUGAUCCAGCCAUGCCGCGUGCAGGAUGACGGUCCUAUGGAUUGUAAACUGCUUUGUACAGGAAGAAACACUGGUUCGUGAACCAGCUUGACGGUACUGUAAGAAUAAGGAUCGG
rnacentral:rRNA from 1 species